GAUGAACGCUAGCUACAGGCUUAACACAUGCAAGUCGAGGGGAAACGAUGAGAGAGCUUGCUCUCUUAGUCGUCGACCGGCGCACGGGUGAGUAACGCGUAUCCAACCUGCCUCUGACCAAGGGAUAACCCGUCGAAAGUCGGACUAAUACCUUAUGCAGUCGUCGGAAGUCAUCUGAUGACGACGAAAGAUUUCAUCGGUGAGAGAUGGGGAUGCGUCUGAUUAGCUUGUUGGCGGGGUAACGGCCCACCAAGGCGACGAUCAGUAGGGGUUCUGAGAGGAAGGUCCCCCACAUUGGAACUGAGACACGGUCCAAACUCCUACGGGAGGCAGCAGUGAGGAAUAUUGGUCAAUGGGCGUAAGCCUGAACCAGCCAAGUAGCGUGCAGGAUGACGGCCCUAUGGGUUGUAAACUGCUUUUAUGCGGGGAUAAAGUGAGGGACGUGUCCUUCAUUGCAGGUACCGCAUGAAUAGGGACCGGCUAAUUCCGUG
rnacentral:rRNA from 1 species